rnacentral:rRNA from 1 species
CGGACGGGUGAGUAAUGUCUGGGAAACUGCCCGAUGGAGGGGGAUAACUACUGGAAACGGUAGCUAAUACCGUAUAACGUCGCAAGACCAAAGAGGGGACCUUCGGGCCUCUUGCCAUCGGAUGUGCCCAGAUGGGAUUAGCUAGUAGGUGGGGUAAUGGCUCACCUAGGCGACGAUCCCUAGCUGGUCUGAGAGGAUGACCAGCCACACUGGAACUGAGACACGGUCCAG